GAAGUAUUUUCAGUUUAUGACAGAAGGGCAAAAACAUUGACUGCCUCAAGGUCUCAAGCACCAGUCUUCACCGCGGAAAGCAUGUUGUGGCUGUUCCAAUCGCUCCUGUUUGUCUUCUGCUUUGGCCCAGGGAAUGUAGUUUCACAAAGCAGCUCAACCCCAUUGAUGGUCAACGGGAUUCUGGGGGAGUCAGUAACUCUUCCCCUGGAGUUUCCUGGAGGAGAGAAGGUCAACUCCAUCACUUGGCUUUUCAAUGAAACAUCUCUUGCCUUCAUAGUACCCCAUGAAACCAAAAGUCCAGAAAUCCACGUGACUAAUCCGAAACAGGGAAAGCGACUGAACUUCACCCAGUCCUACUCCCUGCAACUCAGCAACCUGAAGAUGGAAGACACAGGCUCUUACAGAGCCCAGAUAUCCACAGAGACCUCUGUAAAGCUGUCCAGUUACACUCUGAGGAUAUUAAGACAACUGAGGAACAUACAAGUUACCAAUCACAGUCAGCUAUUUCAGAAUAGGACCUGUGAGCUCCAUCUGACUUGCUCUGUGGAGGAUGCAGAUGACAAUGUCUCAUUCAGAUGGGAGGCCUUGGGAAACACACUUUCAAGUCAGCCAAACCUCACUGUCUCCUGGGACCCCAGGAUUUCCAGUGAACAGGACUACACCUGCAUAGCAGAGAAUGCUGUCAGUAAUUUAUCCUUCUCUGUCUCUGCCCAGAAGCUUUGCGGAGAUGUUAAAAUUCAAUAUACAGAUACCAAAAUGAUUCUGUUUAUGGUUUCUGGGAUAUGCAUAGUCUUCGGUUUCAUCAUACUGCUGUUACUUGUUUUGAGGAAAAGAAGAGAUUCCCUAUCUUUGUCUACUCAGCGAACACAGGGCCCCGGUUCAUUCACCACCCUGCUGAUGGAGAAACUAAGUCCCAGUGAAAGGGAUCAUCCCUUGUCACCCAGCAAGUCCAGGGCACAGGCAGGAUUAGAGCAUCCAAGGCACAAAACCAAACUGUCUGACUGCAUCAUUACUGUUCAGCCAGGGUCUGGACAAUGGAUAGACACAGUGGGAAGAGAAAACAUGAUAUAGAAACACAAACACAGGCUCUGGACUCAGAUUGGCUUUGGGUCUCAUUUCAUGCAUGAGUGAUGCAUGACAUCACUUGCAGAGGCAAAGGCAUAAGGUUUGAAGUCAGAAGACAUGCAUUUGAGUUCCUGUUUCAUCACUGUCUGUAUGGCUUUGCACAAGUCAGUUAAGUUUUCUGAGCCUCCAGUUCCUCAUCUCCAAAAUAAUCAAAUCCGCUAUAGAGACCUCUGAAAAGCUUAAUAAUAUCCCGUAUGUGAAAUAACUGGCUCCAUUAUGUUUGCCAAUGAGGUGUCUUUAGCCCUUCCAUAGGCAGGGCUAUUUGGUCCCAGGAGCUUCCUGACCCACAUGUGAAGCCUGAGGGAGACUCUGAAGCUUUAGGGGACCUCAACACCACCUCCUACCCCAAGAGAUGUGGUCAGAAAUAGACCACAUGACUGAGAAGGUUCACCCAGAGCUCCAAAGACUGUCAAGAAUGAAUGAUCCCUCAGGAAAGGAGAUGCUUCAAACACCUGCCUAUCUGGGGACACAGUGUGCUCUGGGGAGGGCGAAGUCCUGGGAGAGAAGUCCCAGAGUCCUUGUGCCAUUGACUGUGCCUUCCUAUGUUAACAGCAGAGUCUGCAGGGAACCUAGAGUAUGUUUCAGUGUCUCCAACAAACAACACUGUGUAUGCUUCAGUCACUCAUUCAAACAGGGAAACAGAAAUCUGGACACCUAGAGAAAAUGAUACUAUCACAAUUUACUCCACAAUUAAUCAUUCCAAAGAGAGUAAACCCACCUUUUCCAGGGCAACUGCCCUUGACAAUGUCGUGUAAGUUGCUGAAAGGCCUCAGAGGAAUUCAGGAAUGACAUGUCUUCUGAUCCCAUGAGACAGAACAAAGAACAGGAAGCUUGGUUCCUGUUGUUCCUGGCAACAGAAUUUGAAUAUCUAGGAUAGGAUGAUCACCUCCAGUCCUUCGGAUUUAAACCUGCCUACCUGAGUCAAACACCUAAGGAUAACAUCAUUUCCAGCAUGUGGUUCAAAUAAUAUUUUCCAAUCCACUUCAGGCCAAAACAUGCUAAAGAUAACACACCAGCACAUUGACUCUCUCUUUGAUAACUAAGCAAAUGGAAUUAUGGUUGACAGAGAGUUUAUGAUCCAGAAGACAACCACUUCUCUCCUUUUAGAAAGCAGCAGGAUUGACUUAUUGAGAAAUAAUGCAGUGUGUUGGUUACAUGUGUAGUCUCUGGAGUUGGAUGGGCCCAUCCUGAUACAAGUUGAGCAUCCCUUGUCUGAAACGCUUGGGAUUAGAAAUGUUUCGGAUUUCAAUUUUUUUUCAGAUUUUGGAAUAUUUGCAUUAUAUUUAGUGGUUGAGUAUCCAAAUCCAAAAAUCCAAAAUUCAAAAUGCUCCAAUAAGCAUUUCCCUUGAGUUUCAUUCAUGUCGAUGCAGUGCUCAAAAUCUCAGAUUUUGGAGCAUUUUGGAUAUUGGAUUUUUGGAUUUGGGAUGCUCAACUUGUACAAUGUUUAUUAGACACAUCUCCUGGGACAUACUGCCUAACCUUUUGGAGCCUUAGUCUCCCAGACUGAAAAAGGAAGAGGAUGGUAUUACAUCAGCUCCAUUGUUUGAGCCAAGAAUCUAAGUCAUCCCUGACUCCAGUGUCUUUGUCACCAGGCCCUUUGGACUCUACCUCAGAAAUAUUUCUUGGACCUUCCACUUCUCCUCCAACUCCUUGACCACCAUCCUGUAUCCAACCAUCACCACCUCUAACCUGAAUCCUACCUUAAGAUCAGAACAGUUGUCCUCACUUUUGUUCUUGUCCCUCUCCAACCCACUCUCCACAAGACGGCCAGAAUAAUGUUUUUAAUAUAAAUUGGAUCCUUCAGUUUCCUGCUUAAAACCCUGCAGGUUUCCCAAUGCACUCAGAAAGAAAUCCAGUUUCCAUGGCCCUGGGUGGUCUGGCCCACCUCCAGCCUCAGCUAGCAUUACCCUUCUGACACUCUCUAUGUAGCCUCCCUGAUCUUCUUUCAGCUCCUCUAUUAAAGGAAAAGUUCUUUAUGUUAAUUAUUUACAUCUUCCUGCAGGCCCUUCCUCUGCCUGCUGGGGUCCUCCUAUUCUUUAGGUUUAAUUUUAAAUAUGUCACCUCCUAAGAGAAACCUUCCCAGACCACUCUAUCAAAAAUGAAUCUUCUAGGCUGGGCAUGGUGGCUCACACCUGUAAUCCCAGUACUUUGGGAGGCCAAGGGGGGAGAUCACUUGAGGUCAGGAGUUCAAGACCAGCCUGGCCAACUUGGUGAAACCCCGUCUUUACUAAAAAUACAAAAAAAUUAGCCAGGCGUGGUGGUGCACCCCUAAAAUCCCAGCUACUUGAGAGACUGAGGCAGGAGAAUCGCUUGAACCCAGGAGGUGGAGGGUCCAGUGAGCCAAAAUCAUGCCAAUGUAUUCCAGUCUGGGUGACAGAGUGAGACUGUGUCUCAAAAAAUAAAUAAAUAAAAUAAAAUGAAAUAGAUCUUA